AGCUUGUUCAGCGGCUUCUUCAGCACGGUUCCUACUGGAAGAAGCCCCAACUCCAAGCAUUGCCGUUCCAGAAUUUUUCAUUAUUGCCUUUACAUCAGCAAAAUCCACGUUUACCAGCCCAGGUAUAGUUAUUAUAUCAGAUAUUCCUUGAACACCUUGACAAAGUACAUCAUCAGCAAGAAGAAAAGCAUUUUGAAGUGGUGUCUGCUCAUCAGCAAUAUCGAGAAGACGAUCAUUGUGAAUUACUAUAAGAGUAUCAACAUUUUUUUGAAGUUUUUUAAUUGCUUCCAAAGCCUGCAAAGAUCUUUUGCGUCCUUCAAAGCUGAAUG
rnacentral:misc_RNA from 1 species